rnacentral:rRNA from 1 species
UACGUAGGUGGCCAGCGUUGUCCGGCUUUAUUGGGUUUAAAGGGUGCGUAGGCGGUCUAUUAAGUCAGUGCUGAAAUAUCCCGGCUUAACCGGGAGGGUGGCAUUGAUACUGAUGGACUUGAGUGCAGUCGAGGUAGGCGGAAUUGACGGUGUAGCGGUGAAAUGCUUAGAUAUCGUCAAGAACACCGAUAGUGAAGACAGCUUACUAGACUGUAACUGACGCUGAGGCACGAAAGUGUGGGGAUCAAACAGG